UGGGUGGCCAAGCCAAGUUAUUCAUCAUCCA
rnacentral:piRNA from 1 species